rnacentral:lncRNA from 1 species
GACUGAAGACGUGAAAAUGGCCUCCUGACACGUUUUCGGCCAUGAAAUCGUGUGCUAUAGGUCACGGUUAGCCCAGAAACGGCCACACCGGCAACCAGGGUCGAAAUUGUGGGGGAUAGACCGAAGACGUGAAAAUAGCCUCCGGACUCAUUUUCGGCCAUGAAAUCGUGUGCUAUAGGUGACGAUGAGCCCCAAAACGGCCACACCGGCAACUGGGGUCGAAAACAUGGGGGAUGGACCCAAGCUGUG